rnacentral:lncRNA from 1 species
GUCAACAUCCAUUCCGCCACUAUCAGAAAUUUUAAAUUCCGCUCCAGCAGGACGAACAAGUUCUUCAUCAGUUUGAGGGACACUAUGUGCCGGCAGAGUUUCAGAAGCAGAAACCUUUUCCUCUUCUAGUCUAUCAGAACUCUCAGGUUUUUGCGCAGCAGAAGAUUCAAGCAAAGCACCAGAAAUUGCAGCACCUUGAUCAACAUCUACAUCUACAUCACCUACAGGUCUGUUACUGUGUCCAGAACAUUCAUGAACCACCCGCAUGGCAUCACCAGAAACUUCAAAAGCUUCAGCCAGUCUUGAAAUAUCAGAUACAAUAAGGGAGCCCUGAGAUACACUAGGAUCACCCAAUUGACCCUGAACUGGAAAGGGAAUAACAGUCAGACAAACCUUCUGAACCGCCUCAUGAGAAUCAGCAAUGCUCAAGAGUGAUGACGGUCUGGACUGAUCAUUUGUUUCUGUGCAAUUCAUAUCAUCUUGAGCACAUUGUUCAGAUAGAGGGGGUUUUAGAGACUCUGUUUCACGAUUUACACCAUCAUUCUCAGAAUCAACAUCUGUCGCGACUGGUGGGGUUCCCCCCAUUGCAUGAUUUGUAUCAGAAAUCAAAGGUCCAAAAUUAUUUCCCUCACUUGCAUUCUUCUCAGUUAAUAUAGGAGCUUCAAUCUCAUGUACUGGCGUUACAGAAGCCUCUGUCUUGCUGUCUGAAUAUUUCUCGGCAUCAUCUGUAGUACCACCAGCAUCACUACCUCCUAUGGAGACAUGAAGGGAAGAUUCAAGAGGCUGCUCCAAGCGUACAUUUACUUCACCAAUAAAACCAUCACCAGUUAAAACAGGAGGCAUCUUGGUACGUUGAGUAUCUACAGGUGGAUCAACAUUGCUGCUAGAAGCAACUUCACCUGUACAAGUUACCAGACUACCAGCAAUUUGAGCUUCACCGGGUAGAUCAACCUUACAGCCAGAUGCCUCUACACCAGGAGGACUGCUAUCAACCUUACUUCCACACGUGUCUUCAACACCCGAUUCCAAAAAUGAAUCAACCUUAUUGUUCGAUUGCUCUAUACAAGGAACAGAAGUACUAGCGGUAGUCGAGCUCCUAGAAAAGCCAAUUCCUUUUCCAUUAUCAUCGCAUGGAACACCAUUUUCACUCGUAGGAGGCCUUGAAUCCUCAAUGUUAUCAAUGGAGCCAGAAAUUACUUUGCUUUCAACUUUGCAAGGAUCAUUAUUAUCUACAGAAUCUUCACCCAAAGCAGGAGAACUCUUACCGGUUUCAUAUGUAUGAUUUCCAUCUUCUCCAGAGAUACUUACCGGGAGUAUCUCAGAUGAGUGAACCACUUCUUCGAAUGCAGAGGAAGAGGGCAAUGGACUUUUGCAUCCUAUAUUCUCGAAUACAACUUCAUCAGUAUACACACCGGCUCCUUUGUCCAGCUUAUCCUCAAAUUCUCCUUCAUCCACUUUCUUAUCUGAUUCUGCUUCGUCUACUUCAACCUCCGAUUCUUUCAACUCAACAAGUCUGCUGGAGCUACGAGAUAAAUCUUUAGCUGACAAGUCUUCGACCUUACAACCCUCAUUUUCACACACAAGUAAUCCAACUGGUGUUUCUGAGCUGCAGAGUGGAACAUCCACAGAAAUCGUAUUUUCUGCCUCGUCUUUCGGUAGAUAAGAAGCAACUUCAGAGGCCCCUGUUUCAAUCCCAUCUUUGCAAGUUGUUGGGUUCACCGAGCUGCUGCAUGGACCCUGUGCAUGCUGAGUAUUAAACGCUUCAACUUCCUCCUGCAAGCUAGACGUAGUAGGUUCAUCUGAGAGACUCCUGUCAGAAUGUGACAAGUCAACUUCCCGUCCUAUUUUUGUGCAAGGCACUUUCACUUCUACUGCAGCUGAGCUGUCUACCGGACUCUUUUUACAUCCACCAUCAAGAAUUACUUCCUCGGCAGACACAUCUACUGGUAUAGAGAGCUGUUGAAAAGAUAAGAGAACAAAAAAUACACGCAAGGGACAUUACAAUCUUGUAAUGGCAGUGAAAUGCAUAAUAAGCUAUAUACACAAUCAAAUGCCACAGUGCACAGUUACACACAAGCUUGUAGAGGGGGAGCGAUCAAAGACGAUUGAACUUUGCAUUCAUCACCAACAGUCUCUUCCAAUAGACGAGGAAUUAAAGGGACUGCACAUUUAAAAAAGGGAAAAGACCAACCUGUUCCAGUGAGGGAUCCAGAACUCUCGGCUGAAGCUGAUUUCCAACAUGAUCUUCUGAACUUGGCUCUUUAAUGGUAGUUUCAGAAGCAAAAUCACCAGGCAAUCUACUGUCAGCCCAUAACUGCAAGUUACUUGGAUCACAGCUUUUCUUUUCAGUGGCGGAUUCACACGCCAUGUUCUUCUCGGAAUGUGUACGUCUAUCUUCCACCGUAGAUAUUUGGGCAGGUUUGCUCUCCAUGCUUCCAGAUACUUGAUCCAGUUGUAAGUUAAUGUUAUCUUCAGGUUGACAAAGUGUACCAUUACAUUUAGCAUCAUAAUGCCCAGGAGAACAUGCGUCUACUUCGGAGUGGUCAACAUCCAUUCCGCUACUAUCAGAAAGUUUAAAUUCCGCUCCAGCAGGACCAACAAGUUCUUCAUCAGUUUGAAGGAGACUAUGGGCCGGCAGAGUUUCAGAAGCAGAAACCUUUUCCUCUUCUAGUCUAUCAAAACUCUCAGGUUUUUGCGCAGCAGAAGAUUCAAGCAAAGCAUCAGAAAUUGCAGCACCUUGAUCAACAUCUACAUCUACAUCACCUUCAGGUCUGUUACUGUGUCCAGAACAUUCAUGAACCACCCGCAUGGCAUCACCAGAAACUUCAAAAGCUUCAGCCAGUCUUGAAGUAUCAGAUACAAUAAGGGAGCCCUGAGAUACACUAGGAUCACCCAAUUGACCCUGAACUGGAAAGGGA